AGAGUUUGAUCCUGGCUCAGGAUGAACGCUAGCUACAGGCUUAACACAUGCAAGUCGAGGGGAAACGAUAUAGAAAGCUUGCUUUCUUUAGGCGUCGACCGGCGAAUGGGUGAGUAACGCGUAUCCAACCUGCCCCUGAGUAAGGGAUAGCCCAUCGAAAGAUGGAUUAAUACCUUAUGGUCUCCUUUGCAGACAUCUAAUUAGGAGUAAAGAUUUAUCGCUGAGGGAUGGGGAUGCGUCUGAUUAGCUUGUUGGCGGGGUAACGGCCCACCAAGGCAACGAUCAGUAGGGGUUCUGAGAGGAAGGUCCCCCACAUUGGUACUGAGACACGGACCAAACUCCUACGGGAGGCAGCAGUGAGGAAUAUUGGUCAAUGGGCGGAAGCCUGAACCAGCCAAGUAGCGUGCAGGAUGACUGCCCUAUGGGUUGUAAACUGCUUUUAUACGGGGAUAAAGUCAGGGUCGUGACCCUGUUUGCAGGUACCGUAUGAAUAAGGACCGGCUAAUUCCGUGCCAGCAGCCGCGGUAAUACGGAAGGUCCAGGCGUUAUCCGGAUUUAUUGGGUUUAAAGGGAGCGUAGGCCGGAGAUUAAGUGUGUUGUGAAAUGUAGAUGCUCAACAUCUGCACUGCAGCGCAUACUGGUUUCCUUGAGUACACACAACGUUGGCGGAAUUCGUCGUGUAGCGGUGAAAUGCUUAGAUAUGACGAAGAACUCCGAUUGCGAAGGCAGCUGACGGGAGUGCAACUGACGCUGAAGCUCGAAAGUGCGGGUAUCGAACAGGAUUAGAUACCCUGGUAGUCCGCACGGUAAACGAUGGAUGCCCGCUAUUCGGCCGAAUGGUUGAGUGGCCAAGCGAAAGCAUUAAGCAUCCCACCUGGGGAGUACGCCGGCAACGGUGAAACUCAAAGGAAUUGACGG
rnacentral:rRNA from 1 species